GACAAUGAUAGCAGGAUUAUGUGGAAGAUGAAACUGUUUGUCUCAGGAAGCACAGGGCUAGGACUUUGCAGAACUUUCCCCAAAACACUACUAGCUGGAGGCAAAUAUUCAGCAUGCAGUCUUAUAUGUGACACUUACAAUGGAACCAUAAUAGAUUCUGGUGGGGGCAAGUGUGUGGCAGAGCACAGACCCUUCCGUGGUAUCCCCUCUUUGAUGAAGUCUUUUAUUUUCCUGACCUUGAUGAGCCUAUUCUUUUUAUAGGCAAGAGGAAACUAACAUUUAUAUUAUCUGUUUCUUGGUACAGGUACCAAAACCAAGAACCUAGAGUUAUUGAUUCCUAAAACAGAGAUAUGUGAUGACUCGGAUAAGCCCCCUAUGAUUUUAGGAAGAAUCCAGAAAGGUGACCUUCAAAGCUCUGAGCUAGGAGAAUCUUGUGAAAAGGGAAAUAUGUUUAAAAAGCUGAGAAUAAGGAGAGAAAAAGGAGAUUUGAGAAAAGUGAAAGACUGCCCAUUGUCUGGAAGCUUCCAAGACGAGGAAGAAGAGAAAUCUAAGAAAACUAGGGGGAAAUAUAGCCUUAGUUCUGCUCCUGCUAAAAAACAGAAAAUACAGCCUGGGCAGAAGCCGUUUACGUGUAGUGAGUGUGGGAAAGGCUUUAGUCAGAGUGCAAAUCUUGUUGUGCAUCAACGAAUCCACACUGGGGAGAAGCCCUUUGAGUGUCAUGAGUGUGGGAAGGCCUUCAUUCAGAGUGCAAACCUUGUUGUGCAUCAGAGGAUCCACACUGGACAGAAACCCUAUGUUUGUGGAAAAUGUGGGAAGGCUUUCACUCAGAGUUCAAAUCUGACUGUUCAUCAGAAAAUUCACU
rnacentral:lncRNA from 1 species